rnacentral:lncRNA from 1 species
CCCUCCCUAUUAGCAAGCUCAAUUGGCCGCCUCCGUCACUAACGAUGUGCCCCUGCACGCCCAUGCCAAGCAGCAGCCUGAUGAGAGAAGCGGACCGAGGCGGGCAAGGAGCCCGGCGCAACCUUUGUAGGCACUGCUGCCAUAACAGCGCUUAAGCUCUUAAGCCCGUCUGAUUACCACACGCAGGACGGGUAAAGCUGCAUUUUAUGACUCCUUUGGGAGGGACAGAGUCGUGGCUACGUGAGAAGAGGGUUUGCAGAGCUGCGUGCCAAAGAGAGCAGCCUGCCUGCGUGCUGCGGCUUUGUGCCACGCUUCCCUCUCCGUACCUCCUCAGCAGCCACCCAUCCUCGGUGGUGGCCCACCACCCCUCCAUGGGGCCAGCCCGAGCAGAGGGUACCAGGCACCAAGGGACGGCAGCACCCCCAGAGAGAAGGGGCAGCUCCUCGUUGCCUGGAGCCAGCGCUGCAGCAACGCUCACGCUGCCGGUACCGUCACUCGGUUCAGAGGAGGAGAUGCUCUCGGGGGCUCCACCGGCACCACGGGCCUUGCUCUCCGGCCUGCCUGCUCUCCCUGAGCCCACUUGAGCUCCUUCUGACAACUCCCGCUAGCAUGAGAAGAGAAGCCCUUCCAGCCUCCUUAUUCUGUCAGCUAUAAAGGGCAAAGGAUGAACCAAAUGUCUCUUUGGGGUCAGAAAAGCAAUCCCAGUACUCUUGGGGUUCUCUGUCAACUCAAUGGCUAUCUUCUACACACCUGUAUGUAGGUGAAAUCAUUUCGGGUCUAAGUCAUUUUCAGAGGGAACUAAGUCAGGCCCAUCUUCUGCCGUAAUCACUUAUUUUGCAAGAAUGUCACCUACUUACUUCCUCAAAGCCUUUCUGAUAACAAAAGAAAUGAAAAUGUAGGCAAAAUCUAUUUUCCAUCUCUCUAUAAAUGGAAACGAUGAGAGUCCCAGACACACAAACAGGUGGUGCACGAACGGAGCGCUAUGCAAAUUCUCCAUGAAUGUCACACUCUGUUUUCUAUGCUGCAGGCAAGGCUUGUGGUUGCAUUUGCCUUUUUGCUCUUUCUAUGAGGAAAGGCCGCUCCAGUUUAUUUGGGCUUUCCCUGCCGUGCUGCACAACUCCAUUUUUUGCUUUCUGCAGGCAAAACCACCCCGUUCUCGGUGGUGCAGCCGCCAGCACUUUGCACACCAGCACACCAGAAAGCUGCAAGCAUACAUCCACGCGCAAAAAUAAAUAUAUGACCACAAAAGACA